UCUCAAACACUGUCUCUUCUCUCUCGAGGUCUACUUUCUUGGCUGCAGAGUGACGAUCUUCUCAAAAUUGAAAUUGCUUUGAUCUUCUAACCAGUUUCUCUGAUAACUUUCAACUUUCGACGCCUAACUUUUGAGCUUCCAAUUCAUCCAAGGAAACAUCGAUUUGCGGUUGUUUUGGUUACUUUCUAGAUCUGUCGGAGGAUAACAAUGCACGUUUUCAAAUGAGCAUGGUGUAUGAUCUUCUCAAGCGCAGAGAUUAAGUAUAAGGGUGAUGAUUAUCAUGCUUUGAAAGAUAACAACAAGAAAAUGGAUGAGAUUACACAUCUUUGGCUUGUCCCCACAGAGCAAGAGUUGCAAAUACCAUAUUUUUUAACUCUAGGAAUCAUUGACACAAAAUCAGACCCUACAGUGGAUUUGAUAAAAAAAAUUGGCUUGAGCAACAAUCAUCAAAAGGAUAGCACUUAUUGCUCCUGGUGAUGCUGAUGAUGUUGCAAUAAAUGUUGAUGUUGAUGCUAAUGUUAAUGUUAGUGUUGAUAUUGGUGAUGUUAGUGCUAAAACUGGUGGUGAGCAGAGCAUGUUGACUCAGUUGGUGGUACAUAUGGUGGAUUCACCCUUUUCAGUGGACAUACCACAUAUUUUGCUCCUUCUUCUAGCUCAUGUUCUACAUGCAAAUGUGAAGAAUGCAAGAACAAAGAGACUCAGUUAAUAUCUACAGGUGAAGAUGUGAAGAAGUCUCUUGAUGCUCUUACUAAUGUUGUUAAGGAAUUGAUAUCUAAGAGAGGUGUUAUUCCAUCAAGAAAAAUUUCAGAGCCAUUCACUCAAUUGAAGAUUAAGAGAAGAAAAAAUUAAUUUUCAAGAUACUAUCAAAUAUGAAAAAGAGACAACAAAUUGCAACUACUCCUCUUCCUUGCAAUGUUGAUUCAUCUUCGGGAGCCAUAGAAGAGCAGCAGAAGUCGUAGAAGGUAUGGGCUGCUGAAGUCAUAUUUUAUAAGCUGAAGAACCUAAUAUGAAUUGUAAUUCAUGAAGACUUGUCAUAUUUAAUUAAUUAUAUUUUGUAAUUGCUAAAGACAAUAUUUUAUAUUAAUAGAUGUUCAGUUAUUUUAUCACGAA